CAUAUUUGGUUGUUUUGGUUGAAUUGGUAAACGAAUUCAAAAUGUGAUCAAGUCGUAAAUGUUUGAAACAAAUGUUCUUUCGAGCAAGACAUCCAGAGCAUUUUCCCCCUUCAGAGCAAAGAUUACCAUUGCCUUCAUCUACUUGAGUGAGAUGGACAAACGUGGUUGGAUCCCGUGUCAUGUGUUUUGAGCAUCCACUACUAAGAAAAAUGGCAUACAAGGCGAAAAUGAGCACUUCUAUCCCAAUUUGAACGUGUAUAAUAUAGUGCACCCGUGAAUUGAACAAAAUGUGAGUGAUAAUAAAUUUUGUACUCGAAAGCCGUGAAUUUUGCACUUCUAUCCUAAUUUUUGUCGGGUAUUUCUUCCUCUUGAUGGCUCGCUUAGCUUUGAGAUGCCCCCCGACAUUGCAUUACACGUCUCUGCAAUAUCUGUCACAUAUGUCAUUGAAUUAAAAGAUGUGACUGGAGAUGAAAGAGUGCAGCAAUACCUCAUUUCGUGAGUCAUGAAUCAAGCGUGCUUGAAGCUGAAAUGCGUCAUUGGAGUCUUGGGCAACGUGGCAUGUUGUCACCAUGUUAUUAAUAAUUCCCAUAUGUCACUUUGUUAUGCUGUCUUUUAAACUUGG